GUCUUUCUUGCCAUCCUUUGCUUACCCUGUAAGGAUAAACUAAAUUCCAGCUGGUACGGCGACAAGACGGCCAAGUCCCCAUCAGUCUCACCGGUCAGGUUUCCUCCGACGGAGGCAGGGCAGGCUCAGUGAUGCACCUCCUCGCCGCCUACGAGUUGUGCCUGCUCCUACUGGUCGUCACACUGCUUCCGGUAGCGACUCCCAUGCCGCCCGUCGGGGCAGCGCUGCGCAACGUCGGACGACGCCCAUACAUUCCCAUACGGUCCGGUAUCCUCCUCUUUCUGUUCAUCUCCGGCAAGCUCCUUCGGGCUCUCGCGGUGGCUGGGAAAGAGGCAACCUCUGAAGUGCACCUCCUCGCCGCCUACGUGGUGUGGCUGCUCAUGCUGGUCGUCACGCUGAUGCCGGUGGUGAUUCCGAGGCCGCCGCUUGAGGGGAGGGUGGCCCUGCUGAUCCCUCCCGUCGUCGUUCGUGCAAGGGGAGCGCUACGCAACGUCGGACGACUCCCAUACAUUCCCAUACGGUUCGGUUUCCUCCUCUUUCUGUUCAUCUCCGGCGAACUCCGUCGGGCCAUAUGAGAAUGACAUGUUUGACUUCACCAUGAUAAUAUGUCGAUGGGAUGAUGACCGAUGGCGAGGUUUCGAUAUUUCUCCAUUUAUGUCACAAUCAUAGUAUCAUCAUGCUUGACAAUAAACUUCAAUUUCUAUAUAUAUUAAAUUGAUAUGUGUUGGUACUUUAUAUUUUAUAUUUAAUAUAAACUCCCCCUCACUUGUUUAUCAUAUUUUAUAUUUAAUAUUUUAUCCUGUCCUUUAUUUUAUCGAUCCAAAUAAGUUUUAGGUUUUCUGGAUAUUUUUUUCAUUUAUUUUUUAUGUUGCUGAUAUUGAUAUUAAAACAUGCAGGAGAGGUUCGUUUAUUUAUUGA
rnacentral:lncRNA from 1 species